rnacentral:sRNA from 1 species
UGCAUUUGUAGCCUAUGAGGAUGAGAACCUCCGGGGGCAGGGAGGUUCGACUCGAGCGAAGCGAGAGAACGUUGCGCCAGCAACGGCCCGCAGGGCGAGCCACGAAGUGGCGAGUAAUCCUCUGGCACCGACCA